rnacentral:rRNA from 1 species
GACGGAGGAUGCAAGUGUUAUCCGGAAUCACUGGGCGUAAAGCGUCUGUAGGUGGUUCGAAAAGUCCACUGUUAAAAAUUGAAGCUUAACUUCAAAGAUGCCGUGGAAACUUUCAAACUAGAGUGUGGUAGGGGUAGAGGGAAUUUCCAGUGGAGCGGUGAAAUGCGUAGAUAUUGGAAAGACCACCGAUGGCGAAGGCACUCUACUGGGCCAUUACUGACGCUGAGGUGCGAAAGCGUGGAGAGCAAACAGG